GGGUUCACACUAUUCUCCUGCCUCAGCCUCCCGAGUAGCUGGGACUACAGGCGCCCGCUACCACACCAGGCUGAUUUUUGGUACUUUCAGUAGAGACGGGGUUUCACCGUGUUAGCCGGGAUGGUCUCGAUCUCCUGACUUCGUGAUCUGCCCGCCUCGUCCUCCCAAAGUGCUGGGAUUACAGGCGUGAGCCACCGCGCCUGGCCAGAAAUUGUUAAUUUUCUUAGUGUGAUAAAGAUAUUGUGGUUACAGAGAACAUCCUUAUUAGGAGAUGCAUACAUGGUUUAAGAGUUAAGAGUUGCAAUGUCUGUGACUAGCUUUCAAAUGGUUUAACAAAAUCAAUCUAUAUUGAGAAAGAUAAUUGUGACAAAAUGUUAAUUCCUGGUGAAUUUUGGUAAAGGUUCUAUGCAUGGUCACCAAACAUUUCUUUCAGCUUUUCUAUGGGUUUGAAAUUUUUACAAGUUAAAAGUAAAAUAAAUAAUAGAGAUCCUUUGACCAUAAUUUAAACUGAAUUAGCAUUGUCAGGAUUAGAGCUCAAGAACCUUUAUUUUUCACAAGGUCAUCCAGAUGAUUCUAACACACAUCUAGAGAAUCGCUGGUCUUUGGUUUCUGCUACCUCCUGUAGUCAGAGAAAAGUGAGAGGAAGAAAUGUUGUAAUUCUCUCAGUAGAAUUAGCUCAGCUGGUGGCCAAGAGUCUUUCCCUGAUGGUUCCACAAGCCAAUUAUCUCAGACACGGUCCGAAUGGCCUCGGAGUCUUAAGACUGGAUUUCCUAUGGAGGAAUCAAAGUACUAAUCCUCCUUUGGGGGCCUUGGCUGCUGUAAGAAACCAAUACUUGACCCUCCCAGGAAUAGAAGCUUCAGGGCACUGAAAGAGCUAAAAGGACUGGAGUGGAGGCAAGCCAAGGUGCUGUCUGAAUGGUAAGAGGAAACCUACCAGGUGAAGGAUCUAGUGUUUUGCCAAGAAAUUCAAUUUAAUACCAAACAGGGGAUUUACCUGGGCAGAACAGGCAAUUUGUUAAUAUUUAGUGACUGUUACACACCUGAGUUGGAUGUCAUUACUAACAACCCCUGCCAUAGGCUUAUGCACUGCACCCCCUGCCCCCAAAAGCAGACAAUUGGUUUAAUGUCUAUUCUAAGAAACCUGAGGAAAAUGAAGCCAGACUGAUUAUGGGACA
rnacentral:lncRNA from 10 species